GGAAAUGUGCCUGAAUUCACCAAAGGGUCACUUUGAUAAAGUGAACAUGGAGGUACACCAAUCCUCUCAUUUCCU
rnacentral:tRNA from 1 species